rnacentral:siRNA from 1 species
UGGGAUUAGAAGAAGUGUUCCUA